GGGCCCGCACAAGCGGUGGAGUAUGUGGUUUAAUUCGAUGCAACGCGAAGAACCUUACCAGGGUUUGAAAUCAUUUCAAAACUCCUUGAAAGAGGAGCCUCCUUCGGGAUGAAAUGACAGGUGGUGCAUGGCUGUCGUCAGCUCGUGUUGUGAAAUGUCGAGUUAAGUCUCGUAACGAGCGCAACCCAUGUCUCUUGUUGCUCACUGAGUGCUUAAGAGAGACUGCCGAUUAUAAAUCGGAGGAAGGUAAGGACGACGUCAAGUCAUCAUGCCCCUUACACUCUGGGCUACACACGUGCUACAUUGGGUAGAACAAUAAGUUGCUAAGUUGCGAAACCAAGCG
rnacentral:rRNA from 1 species